rnacentral:rRNA from 1 species
GUUCAGGGAGGUAGUGACAAUAAAUACCUUACAGAGGUCUCGUUAACCGAGAUCUCUCAAACGGAAUGAGUACAACGUGAAUCCUUUAACGAGGAUCGACUGGAGGGCAAGCCUGGUGCCAGCAGCCGCGGUAAUUCCAGCUCCAGUAGCGUAUAUUAAAGCUGUUGCGGUUAAAAAGCUCGUAGUUGGAUAUCAGUGCGUGUCCGGUCCGGUAUGCCCGGCGGCGGCGCUCGCGCGUCACUGCUGGGCUCCCAAAUAUCGGCUGGCCGCAUUCAAUCGUGCCGGAUCCGUCGACGGGCCGUUCUUCGGAGGGGCCUGUUGGCGACCGGCGACGUUACCUUGAACAAAUUAGAGUGCUCAAAGCAGGCUCUGAAUGCCUGUAUACAUAUUCAUGGAAUUGGAGAAUACGUCCCUGGCUCGAUUUGGUUGGUUUUGAGAGUCGAAGGGAAAUGAUUAAUAGGGACUGACGGAGGCAUUCGUAUUGCGACGCGAGGGGUGAAAUCCUGUGACCGUCGCACGACGAACUACUGCGAAAGCAUUUGCCGAGAAUGUUUUCAUUAGUCAAGAACGAAAGUUAGAGGUUCGAAGGCGAUCAGAUACCGCCCUAGUUCUAACCGUAAACGAUGUCGACCAGCAAUCCGCAACGGUCACUACACGGACUGUGCGGGCAGCUUCCCCGGGGAAACCAGAGUGUAUGGACUCCGGGGGAAGUAUGGUUGCAAAGCUGAAACUUAAAGGAAUUGACGGAAGGGCACCACCAGGAGUGGAGCUUGCGGCUUAAUUUGACUCAACACGGGACAACUCACCAGGCCCGGACACCGUAAGGAUUGACAGACUGAUAGCUCUCUCUUGAUUCAGUGGGUGGUGGUGCAUGGCCGUUCUU